GGAUCGGAUCAACUGAUUUUUAUGAUUUAAUAACUAAGAUUAUGAGACUGAAAUUCAUUUUAUCGUUCGUAAGGUUAUAUCCGUCUUGUUCAUUUCUGCCAGAUAACAAAGAUUAAUCAUGUUCCGGAUUUCACUCUCUUUCCAUAGAAAACGGUGAUUCGAAUUGAUUACAAUAGAUUGUAUUUACGGAUUCGUGGUUCAGAAUCUGGGUUUUCAUCGAACAUGAACGAUAAAGAGAAAAUGGUGGAGCCGAUCCGACGGAGGUUGAUUUUUCGGCGAACUAUGCUGAUUUUUUUGUGUCUUUACUUUUGGGAAUUGGCAGAUGACCUGGAUGAAACGUCGAUUUUUGACCCAAAGAAAAGAAAAAUCUCGGGUGCUGCGGUAAGGUGUUUCUCUUCUUGAUGAAAGAUUGAUUUUUUUCUUUUUUCUUGUUACUCUUUUAUCAAUUGAUAGAUUUGGGGAUUUGCAUUUUGGAAUUGUUAAUUCGAAAGAUGUGAAGGUGAUAGAAUGUGAUGAUAAGGAAGAAGAAGAAGAUGAAUGGUUGCCUCCUCCACCAAAGGAUUGGUGCCAGUAUAUUACGAUCACAAAUAUUUUUAUUUUCAUAUGCUAUCGCAGAUUGAACUUUCUAGUUCGUGAAACUACAAAUACUUAUGCAAAAUCGAAGCCCUUGCUGGACUUCCAGGUUCGGAAAUCGCGGCAGGUUAUCUCCAUUUGAGUUUUAAUUUAAUUUGAGAGAAUAUGUGACAGAAACCCAAGUUUUGACAUGGUUUUAGCUGUGAGUUGAAUAUGGAUGCUAGAAAUGCAAGGGGAACUGUGAAUGAUCGCAAAAAGCAAAAAAAUGUUAGGCAAACAUGGAGAGCAGUGUCUUCUUAGCCCAAUUUCUCCGAGGGAACUGUCAGUUGCUCAUCAUCCGAACCAACAAAGCAAACGAACUAGGUUGUCCAUUUAGAUGUUAUCAUUGUAUUGGGUAAUGAAGUGGGUAUAGACCUGGUUUGGGAGUGAGGCUUAAUUUGACAGUCAUGGCUAAUGAUAUGGGUACAGACUUUGUUGUGUCGAUUUUUUUCAUUCUUUGUACAGUUGUUUUAUGUUGAUCGGUUCGAUAUUACAACGACGCCAUCCAAAAGGGAUUUUCCCAUCUUGUUUUAUGCAACUACAAGUUUUUGGUUUGUAAUAGUUUAUCAGGAUGCUUUUGUUUUAGCAAGUUUAUUUGGUCUGCUUGUUGCAGUUUCAAACACAUUGUUUUAAUGAAAUUGUGUUCGAGUUU